UGGCUCAGGAUGAACGCUGGCGGCGUGCCUAAUACAUGCAAGUCGAGCGAACGGACGAGAAGCUUGCUUCUCUGAUGUUAGCGGCGGACGGGUGAGUAACACGUGGAUAACCUACCUAUAAGACUGGGAUAACUUCGGGAAACCGGAGCUAAUACCGGAUAAUAUUUUGAACCGCAUGGUUCAAAAGUGAAAGACGGUCUUGCU
rnacentral:rRNA from 1 species